GUGCCCACUUUGGCAGCACAUAUACUACAAUUAGAAUGAUACAGAGAUUAGCAUGGCCCCUGUACAAGGAUGACACAAAUUCAUGAAGCAUUCCAUAUUUAA
ensembl:snRNA U6 U6 spliceosomal RNA